CCUGACUGCUAUCGGAUUGAUACUAAGCCAUGCGAGUCAUUGUAGCAAUACAAGGCAGACGGCUCAGUAACGCGUAGUCAAUCUACCCUAUGGACGGGAAUAACCUCGGGAAACUGAGAAUAAUGCCCGAUAGAACAUUAUACCUGGAACGGUUUAUGUUUCAAAUGAUUUAUCGCCGUAGGAUGGGACUGCGGCCUAUCAGUUUGUUGGUGAGGUAAUGGCCCACCAAGACUAUUACAGGUACGGGCUCUGAGAGGAGUAGCCCGGAGAUGGGUACUGAGACACGGACCCAGGCCCUAUGGGGCGCAGCAGGCGAGAAAACUUUGCAAUGUGCGAAAGCACGACAAGGUUAAUCCGAGUGGUUUCUGCUAAAGAAACCUUUUGCUAGUCCUAGAAACACUAGUGAAUAAGGGGUGGGCAAGUUCUGGUGUCC
rnacentral:rRNA from 1 species